CGGGUUUAGUGGCGGACGGGUGAGUAACGCGUGAGAAUCUGCCUCUAGGUCGGGGACAACAAUUGGAAACGAUUGCUAAUACCCGAUGUGCAGCAAUGUGAAAGAUUUAUUGCCUAGAGAUGAGCUCGCGUCUGAUUAGCUAGUAGGUGUGGUAAUGGCGCACCUAGGCGACGAUCAGUAACUGGUCUGAGAGGAUGACCAGUCACACUGGGACUGAGACACGGCCCAGACUCCUACGGGAGGCAGCAGUGGGGAAUUUUACGCAAUGGGCGAAAGCCUGACGUAGCGACACCGCGUGAACGAAGAAGCCUCUUGGGGUGUAAAGUUCUGUCAGCUGGAACGAAACAAAUGACGGUACCAGCAGAGGAAGCAUCGGCUAACUACGUGCCAGCAGCCGCGGUAAGACGUAGGAUGCGAGCGUUGUCCGGAUUUAUUGGGCGU
rnacentral:rRNA from 1 species